CCACCCCAUCAAGAACAGUAAAGGAAGGGUUUUUCAUUUUCUGCCAACACAGCAACCAUUUCCUUUGCGUUCUUGCUCGCUCUCUCAAUCAAAAUGCAUCGACGUUCAUCAAUCUCUCUCUGUAAAUCGCUUUUCAGACACCCUUUUGAGAAAUCAACGAUACCCAAAUCGUCUUUUUCCUUAACAACUCUUACAUCUGACCCAAUUACAUCCUUAAGCCCCACAAAGACCAGACAUUUUCUUGGUCCAACGAGGUCAAAUUCAUCGACCCAGUUCAUAAUUUCGCAGAAUGUAAGGAAAUACAGUGUUGACACUGAUAAAGAAGUUGAUAAAAUUAACCUCAAGUUUGCGGAGGCAAGAGAGGAGAUAGAAUCAGCUAUGGAAUCCAAAGAGACUGUGUAUUUUAACGAAGAAGCUGAAUGUGCACGUGCUGCUGUUAAGGAAGUUUUUGACUUGUAUUAUGGGCUGUUGGAAAAGCUGUCAGAGAGUGAAAAAGGAGUGAUUCAGAGGUCUAUGGGGCUUAAGAUUGAGCAAUUGAAGGCUGAGCUUGAGCAAUUGAAUGAGUGAAUGGGUUAAUCUUGGCGUCAUAAAAUAUGGGAAGAACCUUCAGCAUAACCAUAGGAGCUCAACUAUUUCACCUCUACAAGCUACUUGUACCUACUCAAAUUUUAACCUGUGAAGUCCUGCCAAGGCACUUGUCUUCUGUCUCGCUAAAUCUUAAUAACUGCAUUCAGCUUGCCAGUUAUGCUUUUAAGUAAAGUCCUAAAACAUGUUAUUCAUUGACCUAGAUAUGAACCUCUUCCUUUCUUUGCCUAAUUGAGCAAGUGAAUUUGUAUGAACGGUGAGUUUGGAUGUUCGUUUCUAUUCAGAAUAUCUCAAAGUUGUUAUCAACAUAUUGAAGUCUAUUUCCCAAAUAAUAUUAGUAAUAAUUUUGUACCACCUAUUUGUAUACAUAGGUGCCCA